ACAAGGGAAUAAGUGAAGCUGCCAGCAUGAUCUAUCUUUGGUUAAGAAAUGAAUGUGGAAACAUGUUGUUUAAACCCAGGCUAGGUCAUGUCUGACAGCUUCACUCCUUCCUGGU
rnacentral:pre_miRNA from 3 species